rnacentral:rRNA from 1 species
UGGAGCCUGCGGUUUAAUUGGAUCAACGCCGGAAAUCGUCCACCGGGGCGACAGACAAUAUGAAGGUCAGGCUGAAGACCUUACCCGAUUAGCUGAGAGGUGGUGCAUGGCCGUCGUCAGUUCGUACUGUGAAGCAUCCUGUUAAGUCAGGCAACGAGCGAGACCCACGUCCACAGUUGCCAGCAUACCCUCCGGGGUGAUGGGUACACUGUGGAGACCGCCGCUGCUAAAGCGGAGGAAGGAGUGGGCAACGGUAGGUCAGUAUGCCCCGAAUCUCCCCGGGCUACACGCGGGCUACAAUGGUUGGUACAAUGGGCAUCUACCCCGAAAGGGGAAGGAAAUCUCUUAAAGCCAAUCGUAGUUCGGAUUGAGGGCUGCAACUCGCCCUCAUGAGGCUGGAAUCCGUAGUAAUCGCGUUUCAACAGAACGCGGUGAAUACGUCCCCGCUCCUC